AGGUUUGAGUUGNCAGUUGACUUUUAAUCAAUUGGUCGCAGGUUCGAAUCCUGCACGACCCACCA
rnacentral:tRNA from 1 species